UACGUAGGGUGCGAGCGUUAAUCGGAAUUACUGGGCGUAAAGCGUGCGCAGGCGGUUCGUGAUGUCUGGUGUGAAAGCCCCGGGCUUAACCUGGGAAUUGCAUUGGAAACUAGCGGGCUGGAGCAUAGUAGAGGCAGGUGGAAUUCCGGGUGUAGCGGUGGAAUGCGUAGAGAUCCGGAAGAACACCGGUGGCGAAGGCGGCCUGCUGGGCUAUGGCUGACACUGAGGCGCGACAGCGCGGGGAGCAAACAGG
rnacentral:rRNA from 1 species